UACGUAGGGGCUAGCGUUAUCCGGAAUUACUGGGCGUAAAGGGUGCGUAGGCGGUCUUUCAAGCCAGAAGUGAAAGGCUACGGCUCAACCGUAGUAAGCUUUUGGAACUGUAAGACUUGAGUGCAGGAGAGGAGAGUGGAAUUCCUAGUGUAGCGGUGAAAUGCGUAGAUAUUAGGAGGAACACCAGUAGCGAAGGCGGCUCUCUUGACUGUAACUGACGCUGAGGCACGAAAGCGUGGGGAGCAAACAGGAUUAGAUACCCGCGUAGUUCCU
rnacentral:rRNA from 1 species